rnacentral:rRNA from 1 species
UACAGAGGUCCCAAGCGUUGUUCGGAUUCACUGGGCGUAAAGGGUGCGUAGGUGGCCAGGUAAGUCUGAUGUGAAAUCUCGGAGCUCAACUCCGAAACUGCAUUGGAUACUAUCUGGCUGGAGGGUCGGAGGGGGGACUGGAAUUCUCGGUGUAGCAGUGAAAUGCGUAGAUAUCGGGAGGAACACCAGUGGCGAAGGCGGCCUUCUGGACCAGUACUGACGCUCAUGCACGAAAGCGUGGGGAGCAAACAGG